GCUCUCACAGCUUCAUGGCAGCCAGUGUGCAGCAGGAUGCUGACAGCAGAGUGGCUCCAGUGAGCUGCCAUUCCAGAUGUCAGGAACAAGCUCACAGCUGCAAAGAUACCUUCACGUCACAGAAGCAGCAAGACAAGUGAGUGACCUGCCUAGCAUCAUACAUCGUGUUACAGAGGAUCAAGCUGAGUUUACAUUUUUCUGGCAGUUUCUGCUCUUUGUUUCUUCUUCUCACUUAUAUCAACGUGAAGGACACAUAUAUCUCCAUCCUUGUCCCCACGGCCACGAAGAAAUACGACAGGGCCAAAAACAAAGUCUACACAGGUGGGCAGGAAGCUGGGAGAAGACCCCACGUUCCCGGAGCUUCCCCAUUGCUGGGUUGAUCUUGGUUCUGGAGCGGUGUUCGGUGGAGACUUUGGGAAGUUAUCACGGCUCACAGGCGUGCUGCUCCUGCUGACCUGCCAGGAGACAGAGCAUCUGACCCUGACACUCAAUUAGCAGAACAGACGGCGUGUAACGUAUGCUUGACACUGAUAUGAUUUAACGUUAAUAACUGGUUUUCAAAUAUUUAUUACAAUGGCUGUUUUAAUAAAUAUUUCAUGAACACUAUUUUUUUCAAAAACCCUCUGUUGUCAGCUUUGCUCCCUUAAUUUGCCUUAAUGAGGCUUUUUUAAAAUGCAGUGAUAAAUUGCUUCUCUGCCAAUGUACGGGAGGCAGAGAGCUCUCCUGGAAUAUCCGUCAUCUGGGGUAGCAAACCAGGAAAGGACGAAGACCCAGCACAAAAAGAGCCCAAAAAAGGGACAGGCAGCUGUUCCGCUGCUCGACAGCUCUUUGGAUACCAGGAAGUGUGUCAGUGACAGAUAGUGGCACAAAGCCCUUGGAGAGGAAACUGAGGAGUAUAGGACCUUCUUGGGAAAUCCUGGAAAACGUAGAAGCAAAGGGAGAGUCCGGGCCCAGCCCUGCUUGGAAGGUGGAGGAGAGCAGAGCCACUCUGGGGCCUUGCAGCAGCCUGACAAGUCAAUGCUUCAGAACAUGAGCCGAGCAGGGAGG
rnacentral:lncRNA from 1 species